UAUUUAAGUUGUUGCAGUUAAAAGCUCGCUUGGAUUUCGGAAGGUCUUUAGUGGUCCGCCCCUUCGGGGAGCGGGUCACUGGCCUCCUAUGUUCCUAACGGUCCUCAUCCGCGAGGGUGGGGAAUCAACCGCUAGGAUCGUUUACUUUGAGGAAAUUAGAGUGUUCAAAGCAGGCGUAACUCGCCUCCGAAUACGUUAGCAUGGGAUAAUUGGAAUACGACUUCGGUCCUUGUUUCGUUGGUUUCGCCUUGGCUGAAGUAAUGAUUGAUAGGGACAGUUGGGGGCAUUAGUAUUUAGUUGUCAGAGGUGAAAUUUUAGGAUUUACUAAAGACUGACCAAUGCGAAAGCAUUUGCCAAGGAUGUUUUCAUUAAUCAAGAAAGAAAGUAGGGGGAUCGAAGACGAUCAGAUACCGUCGUAGUCUCUACCGUAAACUAUGCCGGACCAGGGAUCCGGAGAGUUUGCAUGGAUGACUCCCCGGGCACCUUGUGAGAAAUCAUAAGUGUUUGGGUUUUGGGGGGAGUAUGGUCGCAAGGCUGAAACUUAAAGGAAUUGACGGAAGGGCACCACCAGGAGUGGAACCUGCGGCUUAAUUUGACUCAACACGGGGAAACUUACGAGGUCAGGACACUGUGAGGAUUGACAGAUUGAAAGCUCUUUCUUGAUUCAAGUGGGUGGUGGUCAUGGCCGGGUAAGUUGGUGGAGUGAUUUUCUGGU
rnacentral:rRNA from 1 species